GACUCAGGAACCAGUAUGAACCAUGGAUGCUUGGGAAAAAUACAGAAUUCCAGGUCCAUCUCUGACCCGCUGAAUCAGGAUUUGCAAUUUCCUGAGAUCCCUGGGGAUUCAUGCGUACACUGCAGUCUGAGAACAUGGCUUUGGGUGAUUGUCUCAUAGUAAGUGAAGCCAUCUUGGCAAUGUGAAAAGAGCUGGAAGAAAGAUGAAAGCAACAGUGACAAUGUUGAGUUGAAGAACUAAUCAACCCUGAAGUUUCUACAUCUGGAUUUGUUAUAGGAAAUAAUAAAUUUUCCUUAUUGCGUAA